CAGCCCACUGCUAAAGUGUCAUUAGUUGCUUUCGGUCCUCCCCACCUUCAGGCUGUGUGGAUCGUACUCCUGGUAAGCUCUAUUGGGAUCCUCAGAGCUCUCCUGAGUUUCCAGCCCAGUUUGCUUAGCUGCUCACAGAAGCCUGGACCAUGACUACCUUUCAUGCUUCAAAGAACACCAACGUGGUUCAAAGCAUACAGGCAUGUGGUUACUUUUCCAAGUCAAGAAGACCUCUGUGCAGCUUGCUGCGUUCCUCAGAGACAUGCUAGUUAUCCAAUGCUGCAUUUUGCUGACAAGUUGCAACCCAACUCCAGAACUAACAGGCUGCCAUAUAAGCUAGACCUGAGCAGAGCUGCAGUAUGUGGCCACCAAAUCAUCUUUCAGCAGGGGAGGAAAAAAGCAAGUACUUCUGGUGUGGCUGCAUGUUUGUGUCUUCUUUCCUUGUGCUGAAGCUGUUGCACCCUUAGCCCAGGAACAGCUGCAGUGAAGGCCUCUCCGGGAAGGCUGGAUGUUCCUCAAGAAGGAAGUCUUAAGGCACAUGAGAGCAGGCUGUCCCUGAGUGCUUUAAGAUGAGUGAGCAGGGAAGAAGACCAAGGUGGAUGAACAGGGAACUUUAGCUGAGACUCCAGGAGAAAAAGAGAGCCUACCGCCUCUGAAAGAAAGGAUGGGCAACUCUGAGAGACUACAAGGAAGUUGCGAGGAUAUUAUCAGUAAGAGAAGGGCUAAGAAGAAUCUCCAUCCUUUACUGUAGGUGGUGGGGAACAUGACCACUGAGGAUAAGGAAAAGGCUGAGGUUCUCAGUGUCUUCUUUACAUCUGUUUUUAAUAUCAGACCAGUUGUCCUCAGUAUACUCUAUUGCAUGACCUGGAAAUCUGGGGUGGGGAGCAGAAUUCCCCAUGACUCACGUAGAGACAGUUAGAGACCUCCUACUCCAUCUAUACUGUCACAAGUCCAUGGGGACAGAUGGGAUUCACCUGAGGGUGCUGAGGAAGCUGGCAGAGGUGACUGCCAAGUUGCUUUCCACCAUCUAUCAAUAUUCCAAAUCAACUGGAGAGGUCCCAAAUGAUUGAAGGCUUGCCAGUGUGACUCCCAUCUAAAGUAGGGUCUUAAUGAGGACCUGGGGAACUACAGGCCUGUCAGCCUUACCUCAGUGCCAUGGUGAUGGAUGAAGCAGGAGCUGCAGGUUGGGCAAGAGGAUGGUGAAAUCUCUACAGCAUGAUGGGGAGGGAGUGUGUACGAAUCUUCACAUCCUUCACGUUGACUGAAGAGGUCAAAUACACCUGGUUUCUCCUACAGGGACAUUAGCUUAUUCUCCUGCAUUUACCUCUUUGCACGUUGUUGAGAACAGUGUAUGAAUGGGGUGGAUGAUCCCGGCUCCGUGUGAGGAGAGCCAUCUUCAGCAGUUUUGCCUCCUGCCAAACAAGGAUGUGUUUUUAAUCUGUCCUUUUGGUGCCCGGAGGAAGAGCACAGGUUCCCUCUGCUCCCUGCAUCUGCAUGGCAGAGGGCAUGGAUUGGCCCUGAGUAAGGCAUCCUGAGAGACAACCAUCUGGCUGUCAUUAGUUUGAUUUGAUGGAAUUGGACAAAUGUAACAAUUAGCAUGGUAAAAACUCCUAAUUAAAUAAUUUUUAAAAAAGAUAAUGAUGAUUGAGGAUGGAUGGGUUUUUAAUUUUGUGCAUGAAUGAAAGAACACAUUAAUUAAAACCUUGAGUUUAUUUAUGUGCUAUUCUCAUUUUGUAGCAAGCUGCUCCAAGAUCCCUGAACCUGGCUGACAGCUCACGUCUCCGUCCUGCAGCCCCAAGUUCUGCUAUGCUACAUCCCUCUCCUCUCCUCUCCUCUCCUCUCCUCUCCUCUCCUCUCCUCUCCUCUCCUCUCC
ensembl:lncRNA